rnacentral:misc_RNA from 1 species
UUUCCGUAGGUGAACCUGCGGAAGGAUCAUUACCGAAUUGUCAAACGGGUUGUUGCUGGUCUUCAAACGGGGACAUGUGCACGCUCUGUUUACACAUCCACUCACACCUGUGCACCCUCCGUAGUUCUAUGGUCUGGGGGACCCUGCCUUCCUGCCGUGGUUCUACGUCUUUACACACACUCUGUAAUAAAGUCUUAUGGAAUGUAUGCCGCGUCUAACGCAAUACAAUACAACUUUCAGCAACGGAUCUCUUGGCUCUCACAUCGAUGAAGAACGCAGC